CAGUCGCCGCGGUAAUUCGAAGGGUGCAAGCGUUAAUCGGAAUUACUGGGCGUAAAGCGUGCGUAGGCGGUUUGUUAAGUCUGUUGUGAAAUCCCCGGGCUCAACCUGGGAAUGGCAAUGGAUACUGGCAAGCUAGAGUGUGUCAGAGGAUGGUGGAAUUCCCGGUGUAGCGGUGAAAUGCGUAGAGAUCGGGAGGAACAUCAGUGGCGAAGGCGGCCAUCUGGGACAACACUGACGCUGAGGCACGAAAGCGUGGGGAGCAAACAGGAUUAGAUACCCGCGUAGUCCCUGUCUCUUAUAA
rnacentral:rRNA from 1 species